CCGGCACUUCCCGGCUUCGUAGCCACGGAAGCCACAUGUUUCCCCCGAACGCGGCCAGCACUCGAUACCCUCGGGGUGUCCGGCAGCACUGACCGCUGCAGCGGGGACGGGUCCAGUCUUGUUUUGCGGAGAGCAGAGAAGGGUGACCCGGUCCCUGGGAGCUGGGGUGAGGCGAAGAGCAGGCGGGCGCUGAGGUAGCCUUUUGCUCCUCUGCGCCUUUGAUCAAGGAGCUCUGAAAAGCAGGAAAAGAUGUCAAAUGAUUUUUGGAAAGGGAAGAGAGAAUGCUGGGGGGAGGACGAAGGGAGGGAAAACGUCCAAAGCGAAUGGAGUGCGUUUCUCCGCUGUAUCCCGCGGAGCCGCUGAUGCCGCGUCCGACCGUGCCCCCCUCUCCGCUGGGGGCUGGUAGUCGGCCCGGUACUGUCCCGCCGCACCGACAGCGAGGGAGGGCUCGGCACCGCGUACAGCGUCUCUGAAUGAACCGGUGGGGAACGGCCAGGCUGUGGCCGUGUUAAAACGAUAGUUGUAGAUGCGGUGCGCUCUCACUUCCACAACUUGUCCACACCUACUUAUUCUCAAAGUCUUUUCGAAUAACAGACUGUGAUUCCUUUCUAAACGCCUUCAGUUGCAAGCCUGUUUCAUUGUAGCAGUUAUAAGAGGAUAAUAUCAAACUGGUUUGCAAUAUGAAACCUUAAAGAGCUGAAGACUCCUCAGAGCUGGGGUUGUUUCAUAGGGCUGGUCGGCAGACCUCCGUGGAUCCACUUACUGGUUCUUUAGUGCUCUCCGAAGGUGCCCACUUGCAGAGAGGUAAAUGCGGUGACUCUGAAUGCAGACUUUGUCCAUAUGAGCAACUUAACGGGAAAGACCAGCCCAAAAAGAAGCGCUUCAACUCACUUACGCUUUCUAAUGUGUGAAUAUUAACAUCUUCCACCCUGUGAAACCAAAGUCCAUCAGCCCUUUGUGGCUUCCACAGUUGAAAUACUGGCGUUUGCUGUACCUGAUCCUGGCUCCCAGUGAAUGCAUUUUAAUUGUAAUAAAACACAAACUGAA